AUUGAACGCUGGCGGCAGGCUUAACACAUGCAAGUCGAGCGGGGUGAUGGUGCUUGCACUAUCACUUAGCGGCGGACGGGUGAGUAAUGCUUAGGAAUCUGCCUAUUAGUGGGGGACAACAUCUCGAAAGGGAUGCUAAUACCGCAUACGUCCUACGGGAGAAAGCAGGGGAUCACUUGUGACCUUGCGCUAAUAGAUGAGCCUAAGUCGGAUUAGCUAGUUGGUGGGGUAAAGGCCUACCAAGGCGACGAUCUGUAGCGGGUCUGAGAGGAUGAUCCGGCACAAUGGGGCGGAGAAAAGGCCCAGAAUCCUACGGGAGGCAGGAGGGGGGAAUAUUGGGCAAUGGGGGGAACCCUGAUCCAGCCAUGCCGGGUGUGUGAAGAAGGCCUUAUGGUUGUAAAGCACUUUAAGCGAGGAGGAGGCUCUUUUGGUUAAUACCCAAGAUGAGUGGACGUUACUCGCAGAAUAAGCACCGGCUAACUCUGUGCCAGCCGCCGCAGUAA
rnacentral:rRNA from 1 species